rnacentral:miRNA from 1 species
GUAUAUAUAUACAUGUAUAUAUGUAUGUAUGUAUAUAUGUAUAUAUGUAUGUAUAUAUAUACAUGUAUAUAUAUAUAUAUAUACACACACAUAUAUAAAAACAUAUAUAUAUAUA